CCCUGCACCCUCACGGCCAUAAAACAGCCACCCUGCUGCCCCACGGGCCACGAGAGACCAGGACACAUCAACCCUGGUGCCCUGACGGCUGUUAAAGAUGUCCUAAGUGCCCUGUAAGAUUAGCUGUAGGCCUAAUUGCUGUGGUGUCAGUGAGCGUCUCUCCCUUUGUGAUCGGGUUCACUUGGAGCUGUUAGCCCUGUUAAAUGAAAGAGCGCUGUUACAGAGGGUGGCAAGAAGUCCAGAUGAAAUGGACUUGAAUGAAGCAAUACAGAAUCCGGUGAGGCACAGCAAGGUGACUAAACACAGCGAGAACCAGCCAAAUGCAACGCGCAUCGGAAAUGUGAAACAGGUUGGCAUGAAAAUAAACGAGUCCUACUUUGCCUGAAGGGUGCGCAGGAGCUUCUUUCCUUUGAAUAAAUGUUUUA